rnacentral:rRNA from 1 species
GACGAACGCUGGCGGCGUGCUUAACACAUGCAAGUCGAACGGUGAUCUUGGGAGCUUGCUCUUGGGUGAUCAGUGGCAAACGGGUGAGUAACACGUGAGUAACCUGCCCCUGACUCUGGAAUAACUUCGGGAAACCGAAGCUAAUACCGGAUACGACACAGAGCUGCAUGGCUACUGUGUGGAAAGUUUCUCGGUUGGGGAUGGACUCGCGGCCUAUCAGCUUGUUGGUGAGGUAAUGGCUCACCAAGGCGACGACGGGUAGCCGGCCUGAGAGGGCGAUCGGCCACACUGGGACUGGGACACGGCCCAGACUCCUACGGGAGGCAGCAGUGGGGAAUAUUGCACAAUGGGCGAAAGCCUGAUGCAGCGACGCCGCGUGAGGGAUGAAGGCCUUCGGGUUGUAAACCUCUUUCAGUAGGGAAGAAGCGCAAGUGACGGUACCUACAGAAGAAGCACCGGCUAACUACGUGCCAGCCGCCGCCGUAACAC